GGGAACGUAGCUCAGUUGGUAGAGCAACGCCCUUUUAAGGCGAUGGUCCCGGGUUCAAAUCCCGGCGUUCCCACCA
rnacentral:tRNA from 1 species